rnacentral:rRNA from 1 species
CCUACGGGAGGCAGCAGUGGGGAAUAUUGCACAAUGGGCGCAAGCCUGAUGCAGCCAUGCCGCGUGUGUGAAGAAGGCCUUCGGGUUGUAAAGCACUUUCAGCGGGGAGGAAGGCGGUGAGGUUAAUAACCUCAUCGAUUGACGUUACCCGCCGAAGGAGCACCGGCUAACUCCGUGCCAGCAGCCGCGGUAAUACGGAGGGUGCAAGCGUUAAUCGGAAUUACUGGGCGUAAAGCGCACGCAGGCGGUCUGUCAAGUCGGAUGUGAAAUCCCCGGGCUCAACCUGGGAACUGCAUUCGAAACUGGCAGGCUAGAGUCUUGUAGAGGGGGGUAGAAUUCCAGGUGUAGCGGUGAAAUGCGUAGAGAUCUGGAGGAAUACCGGUGGCGAAGGCGGCCCCCUGGACAAAGACUGACGCUCAGGUGCGAAAGCGUGGGGAGCAAACAGGAUUAGAUACCCUAGUAGUC